rnacentral:rRNA from 1 species
GGGCCCGCACAAGCGGUGGAGCACGUGGUUUAAUUCGAUGCAAACCGAAGAACCUUACCUGGGUUUGACAUGUACGUGGUAAGAGCCUGAAAGGGUAAUGACCAGAGGGAAACUUUUGGAGCGUAUGCAGGUGCUGCAUGGCUGUCGUCAGCUCGUGUCGUGAGAUGUUGGGUUAAGUCCCGCAACGAGCGCAACCCUUAUUGUCAGUUGCCAACGAGAGAGACGGGCACUCUGGCGAGACUGCCGUCGACAAGACGGAGGAAGGUGGGGACGACGUCAAGUCAUCAUGGCCUUUAUGCCCAGGGCGACACACGUGCUACAAUGGGACGCACAGAGGGAAGCGAUGUCGCGAGGCGGAGCGGAUCCCAGAAAGCGUUUCCCAGUUCGGAUUGUAGUCUGCAACCCGACUACAUGAAGCCGGAAUCGCUAGUAAUCGCAGAUCAGCCAAGCUG